AGGGAGGGUAAAAUAGUCAUUCACAACCCAACCCAAGAAAAGCCCUAGAAAACAGAGUGAAUAAAAAGGGUUGCGCCACUCUUGUCUUCUUCGUAACUCAUCUUCCUCAUAAGUCUCUUUGUUAAUCUCUAUCGUUUUUGUUUUGUGUUUUGAUAUUUGGGGAUAAAAUCCGCCUCCUUGAGUAGCUUUAUGAACCCUAAGUUAUUUAGGCAAUUUCAUACUUAUUGGCUUAGUUAGGAGGCGUAAAUCAAUUCUGAUCAUUCAAUACUUUUCUGUAUUGUUUUGAUUCGUGGCUUCUUUGGUUUUUGUGGAGAAGCUUCUUUGUGUUUUCUUAAUUCAAAUCAAAGCUUCUUCCCCAAAAAGUUUCAGACAGAAGAAUCUGUGUAUAGAGUGAUAUGUAUAUGAAUAGCCUCCGAAUAACGGGAAUGUGAAAUAUAGGAACACCUUCUUGUUCAGACAGAGGCUUAUAUCAAAAUCCGAAUCAGUUUUGGGUGUGAAAA